rnacentral:rRNA from 1 species
AUUGAACGCUGGCGGCAUGCCUUACACAUGCAAGUCGAACGGCAGCAUGGAGGAGCUUGCUCCUCUGAUGGCGAGUGGCGAACGGGUGAGUAAAGCAUCGGAACGUACCGUGUAGUGGGGGAUAACGUAGCGAAAGUUACGCUAAUACCGCAUACGCACUGAGGUGGAAAGCAGGGGAUCGCAAGACCUUGCGCUAUACGAGCAGCCGAUGUCAGAUUAGCUAGUUGGUAGGGUAAAGGCCUACCAAGGCGACGAUCUGUAGCGGGUCUGAAAGGAUGAUCCGCCAAACUGGGACUGAGACACGGCCCAGACUCCUACGGGGGGCAGCAGGGGGGAAUUUUGGACAAUGGGGGAAACCCGGAUCCAGCCAUGCCGCGUGAGUGAAGAAGGCCUUCGGGUUGUAAAGCUCUUUCGGCUGGGAAGAAAUCGCACAGGCUAAUACUCUGUGUGGAUGACGGUACCAGCAUAAGAAGCACCGGCUAACUACGUGCCAGCCGCCGCCGUAACAC